rnacentral:lncRNA from 1 species
AGAAAAGAAAGGAUUCUCAAUAUAAUUUCGAACAUAACAAGUAUAGUAGAGAUCUGCAGCAGUUCAACAGAUAAAUAGAAAUACAAAAUCAAGACUUGCAUCAAGCAUAACAUCAGCAGUUCGACGCUUACGUUCAGUAACAACAGCAGCAUGUCCAUAGUCCAUUACAUGCAUCACAAAGUUUUCAGAAUUCAUUUGUCAAAAGCACAUAGGAAAGGAUAGAAUCAUGAGCGCCAAAAGGAACUUCAUAGAGAAACCCACAAGCUCACAUGCCAAAACCAGAACUCAUGUCGGUGUCCUCGUUGUCGUCGUCACUUUCUGAAGCAGAGGAAGCAGAGAGCAGAUCUUCUUGAGGAGUAACAGGGAUCAUCUUCUUCUUCUUCCAAUCAACAAACAAAUCUGAAUCCCUCCCAGAGCCUACAAUCUGAAUCAACAAACAAGUCUGAAUAUUCUACCAAUGAAGUAUGGAAUCGGAGGACUCAUGUACCUCCUGGCGAUGUGGUUGCCCUGGCUGCUGGAACCAUGUGAGAGUGAUACUAAGAUGUCAUCGUGGUCGCAGAGGCGCUGUCGUGUAGAGGCCCCUCGUUGUCGGUCGCCUUUCCACCUCCCCCGCAAUCAAAUCUGGCUUCGAAUGAAGCAUCAGUCGGUGCUGGUGGGAAGAACGGCGCAG